CAUAGGUUUGGUCCCAGCCUUCCUGUUAACUCUUAAUAAACUUACACAUGCAAGCAUCUACACCCCAGUGAGAAUGCCCUCUAGGUUAUUAAAACUAAGAGGAGCUGGCAUCAAGCACACACCCUGUAGCUCACGACGCCUUGCUUAACCACACCCCCACGGGAAACAGCAGUGACAAAAAUUAAGCCAUAAACGAAAGUUUGACUAAGUUAUAUUAAUUAGGGUUGGUAAAUCUCGUGCCAGCCACCGCGGUCAUACGAUUAACCCAAGCUAACAGGAGUACGGCGUAAAACGUGUUAAAGCACCAUACCAAAUAGGGUUAAAUUCUAACUAAGCUGUAAAAAGCCAUGAUUAAAAUAAAAAUAAAUGACGAAAGUGACCCUACAAUAGCCGACGCACUAUAGCUAAGACCCAAACUGGGAUUAGAUACCCCACUAUGCUUAGCCCUAAACACAGAUAAUUACAUAAACAAAAUUAUUCGCCAGAGUACUACUAGCAACAGCUUAAAACUCAAAGGACUUGGCGGUGCUUUAUAUCCUUCUAGAGGAGCCUGUUCUAUAUAAUCACUAGU
rnacentral:rRNA from 1 species